rnacentral:misc_RNA from 1 species
GAUGAAGAACGCAGCGAAAUGCGAUAAGUAAUGUGAAUUGCAGAAUUCAGUGAAUCAUCGAGUCUUUGAACGCACAUUGCGCCCCCUGGUAUUCCGGGGGGCAUGCCUGUCCGAGCGUCAUUGCCGCCCUCAAGCACGGCUUGUGUGUUGGGCUCUCGCCCCCCGCUUCCGGGGGGCGGGCCCGAAAGGCAGCGGCGGCACCGCGUCCGGUCCUCGAGCGUAUGGGGCUUCGUCACCCGCUCUGUAGGCCCGGCCGGCGCCCGCCGGCGAACACCAUCAAUCUUAACCAGGUUGACCUCGGAUCAGGUAGGGAUACCCGCUGAACUUAAGCAUAUCAAUAAGCGGAGGA